AUUUGCAUCAACCAGGGAUCUUGUUAAAAUGCAGAUUAUCAUUCAUUGUAUCUGGGUUGGGGCUCAGGAUUCUGUAUUUCUAACAAGCUCCCAGGUGAUGUUGAU
rnacentral:pre_miRNA from 1 species